AAUUCUUAACUUACUAGUUUUGAAUUUUUGCCUACAUUUUAGACCAACCCUGCUUAUUCCUGUGAACCAACUAGUUAUCUUCAACUGCAGCUCAGAAGAAACAAAAAAGGACAGGUUCAGGUUGAAGCCCUAGGAAAGAAUACUGGAUCUGAGAAACUCAGAGGCAGAUGAUAAUGGAGGCUAAAAGGCACAGUGAAGGUGAGCAUGACUAAUUCCAGCUGAUUAAGCCAAGCCUCCUAUUUCAUGGAUAAAGAUCAUGCUAGGAUCUGUGGCAUAAAUGAGGUCUAGUGAACUCCAGAACUACUGGCAGCAGGGGAGAUAGGGCAUAUAUGGGUAACAGCAGAUAUUUCCACCCCCCAGGCCUCCCUGUUAACAUGGGUGAAAGCUGCUUUGACACCCAUGGGUGGCACCCUGUCACAAUCACUGGGACUUGGGGAUACAAGAAUGGAAGUGGGAAAGAGAACAUUCUUUCUUCUAUCCCUCAACAUACCCU
rnacentral:lncRNA from 10 species